GAGGUCCUUAUGAAGUUAAACUGUGUAAAUAAAAAUACAUAUAAAUACACUAUAUUACCAAAAGUAUUCGGU